AAAGGCCAAAGACUGGAAGACCCUGCUGUGCCAAGUGGCUCGCAGCACGGAUAGCCUCAUCCGUGGGCCACAAAAGCCCAUGAUCUCCUUCACCAGACAUGGGCUUCUCCUCUCUGAUGCUGUUCUGGCUCCCACAAUGGAAACCACUUCCCCAGAAGGCAGAAUAUCUGUCAGCAGCUUAACAGCCAGCAUGGAGGCAAGCACGAGGAAUGUCUAAGUUACUCUUCAGUUGGUGCCAGAAACAACCAAGUUCUACAGCCGAAACCCUAAGACCAGAGAGUGACCCACACCACUGUGACCAGCAGAAUUAACCAAAUUAAAUCGAAUAACUUCCAAGGGAAAAGUUACAAAAAGUAUAUGGCUAAAUGAGAAGAUUCGGCUCCCCAUUCUGUUUCAGGUAGGGGGCUAAAGAGGUAAAUACCCCUGAGUCCUGUCACUCUCAGGAAUUUGGGGGGACCUGCUGGUGGAGACACUCCAUGGGCUCCAAGUCAUCCGAGAUGACUGGUCGGAAAUGUCUCAGACCUUCUGAGACAAGUGAACACCAAUACUCC